rnacentral:lncRNA from 1 species
AGAGAUUGGCCAGCGGCGCAGCCCCCAGUCCCCAUCCCGAUUCCUCUCCCUCUCCCUUUCCCUCGUCUGCCGCCGCCAGCACCACCACCGCCCUCCCCGCAGCCGCCGCCACCGCCGGCGCCCGGGUGUGGCGCUGCUCUUCCCCACGGUCCUGAUGGCAAGGCGGCGACAAGAGUUAGAAGGCGGACGCGGACGGCCCCGUCAGCUCUCGUCCCGAUGAAGUCAAGGACGAGCUCCACCCGGACGAGGUCGAUCCGCCCCCCUGCCACACUUCUCCAUCGCGUCACCAUAUUCGGAGGAGCCGCGACUGCUGCUCGCGCAUCUGCUCCUCCUGGAGUUGUCGCCAUCGGCAGGAGGAGUGCCGGACCGCGCGCCAACUCGAGGACCGCCGCUCCGGCGGCCCGUUGUUUCUGGCCGCCGUCCGCCUCUGGUGCCCCAUCCAUUCGCCACCAGUCACGCACCAGGUAGGAACUCAAGCUCCCUGCCUCUACAUGUUCCCAGGUACGGCAGAUCUUCAUCCCCUUUCUUUUCUAAUCUAUAUAUCAGAUAUGGUGGUGUGUGGCAUUUUUAGCUUGGCAGCUGUAGAUAGGAUCAUUUCAAAAGAUUCUUGGACACCCCUUUUAGUUGUCAUCCCUGGAUUAACCAGUGAUUCUGAUGCUGCUGUUAGUCUCUAACCUUUUUCUGAUGUUGACUUAUACAGUUAUACCUGCGUUGCAUAUUUGAAGAGAUCUAAGGUUCAUGAUUGGAUGACUUAUUACUAUAUUUGUAACCAUUCUGAAGAUUUAAUUGGCUAUUGCAGUAUGCAGAACACUUGGUUCAUUCCAUGGCAAGAAAAUGGUGGAAUGUUGUUGUAAGUAACCACAGGGAUCUCGGUGCUGUGUCCAUUAUAGUAAGUUCAGUUAUAUAAUUUACAUUUGCAGCUAUUAAUAUUUCACUCCACAAUCUUCCUGUACAGAUAAAAGGUCGCCUCCUGCUUGUGACCGCGCCAUGCCGCCUCACCCCGGCGCCUUCCAGCCGAGAAUGCCAUCUCCACCCGACCAGGUUCACCUCUCUCUCUCGCUCUCUCUCUCUCUCUCUCUCUCGCUCUCUCGCUCUCUCUCGCUCGCUCUCUCUCUCUCGCUCGCUCUCUCUCUN